AUUAAGGAGUAUUCAUCAUGUCCUUUAGUUUUGUUAAAUGUGUUUAAAUGUAAAUAAUAGCAUCUUUUUACAUAAACAAGCAUCCUUAUGUUAUUAAUUUUUUUACAAAAACAAAUUAGAGUUCAAAAUAAAAAUUUUAAUCUAUGAAAAGAGAAGAAGUAGGAAAAGUAUUUUUAAUUCAACAUUUACAGAGUGAAUCAGGAGAUGUGUUGGUAAAUUAUUUUGAAACAGAUAGUAUCACGAGAAGAAGUGGUAAGAGUAAUAAAAUUCUUUUAUUCAACAUUACGAAUUGAAUUACGAGAAUAAGUGGUUGUAAUUAAUUUAAAACAUAUUGCAUCACGAGAAGAAUAGGAAAAAUAUUGCUAUACUGAAGUAUCAAGAUUAAAAUACUGAUGUACCUUUAAACUGAAGGUGGUAAUAAAGUUUACAAAAUUUGCUCUGGCUGAAUUUUCCAAUGAAAAAACAAUAUGUGUGCCAUGAAUGUAAUCUGUUUUUCAUGGCAUAUCAAUGAAAGUUUGAAAUAAAUAACUUACAGCGGCAAUCUUAAUACAGCUAAUGGCCAAAGAAGUAUGUUUUUCAUACUCAGUGUAUGGAAUGAAACAAAAGCGUCCUGCAAGGUCGUUAUAGAGUUGCGUUUAGUCGUUUAUCGUUGUAUUCGUUCAUUUCGAAAUCGCUACUGACAAAAGAAAAAGAAAAAUUGACAGAAAAUUAAAAAUUAAAGAAAAAUUGGCAGCUUUCUGGCGACGGCCAUUAAUAGAGAUUACAGAAGAAAAAUAGAACGGUAAAUGAGCAACGCCCAAUAUUGAGCAAUGAAAUAAGUAUCGCCAAUAUAAUGAAAGUCGAUGCCCACUAUCUCAUAGUGAGAGUAUAAU